GAUGAACGCUGGCGGCGUGCCUAAUACAUGCAAGUCGAGCGAACAGACGAGGAGCUUGCUCCUCUGACGUUAGCGGCGGACGGGUGAGUAACACGUGGAUAACCUACCUAUAAGACUGGGAUAACUUCGGGAAACCGGAGCUAAUACCGGAUAAUAUAUUGAACCGUAUGGUUCAAUAGUGAAAGACGGUUUUGCUGUCACUUAUAGCUGGAUCCGCGCCGCAUUAGCUAGUUGGUAAGGUAACGGCUUACCAAGGCGACGAUGCGUAGCCGACCUGAGAGGGUGAUCGGCCACCCUGGAACUGAGACACGGUCCAGACUCCUACGGGAGGCAGCAGUAGGGAAUCUUCCGCAAUGGGCGAAAGCCUGACGGAGCAACGCCGCGUGAGUGAUGAAGGUCUUCGGAUCGUAAAACUCUGUUAUUAGGGAAGAACAAAUGUGUAAGUAACUAUGCACGUCUUGACGGUACCUAAUCAGAAAGCCACGGCUAACUACGUG
rnacentral:rRNA from 1 species